rnacentral:lncRNA from 1 species
GGACAAGGGGAAGACACCAAAUCCCUGGACUCAGGCCUCACAUGAUUGAGUGAGAGGAACUCUGCUGUCAGACCCUACAAUGCACUCUUCAGUGGAAGAGGAUCACACAUUCCAAACAUACUCCAUCAGGUCAUAUGUUAAAUGACAGGGCUGAGACCUCUCCACAGCACAUCUGAUACUGGGAUCGAUGAAGAUCAGAUGUGCAAAUCACACUGGGCUCCGGAAAGCCCUAGACUGUGUCAUUCAAGAUGUGUGACAUGGAUAAAAAGCUCCCCAUAGUGGAAAGAGGUGCCAUAAAACACUAGACAAUGAGAGCAAGAUGGGGGACCCAAAAUGGUGCCCUGGCAUCGGCAAGUGGUGAAACCAGCCAUCUGGCCCUGUGCCCUGUCCUCAGAAGUGCCCCUGCCGCCCCAGCAGGUACAUUUGCAGGUGAAGAAUUUCUUUCGCUUUAGUGUCCUGGGAACCAAGUAUUUUCUGUUGGUGGUGUUUCUCUUGCACCAGAUGAAUUUUUGCCUCGCUUACCUGAGACUUAGACUGUCCCAAUUCCAGUCUCCACUG